UACGGGGGGUGCGAGCGUUGUCCGGAAUCACUGGGCGUAAAGGGCGCGUAGGUGGCUUUGUAAGUUUGCGGUGAAAGCCCGGGGCUCAACCCCGGGUCUGCCGUGGAUACUGCAAGGCUUGAGUACUGUAGAGGCAGGUAGAAUAUCGGGUGUAGCGGUGGAAUGCGUAGAGAUCCGAUAGAAGACCGGUGGCGAAGGCGGCCUGCUGGGCAGUAACUGACGCUGGAGGCGCGAAAGCUCGGGGAGCGAACGGG
rnacentral:rRNA from 1 species